rnacentral:piRNA from 1 species
UGGCUGAACUCAUCUGAAUAGCAG